UAGUCUAUCUAUUUUAUACCUAACAUUAAGUCCCCAAAUAUUAAGUGUGACUUAUUUAAUACUUAUCAUUGGUGCACUGUGCCCUAAUUCAGAGGACUGUCUAAGUCUCGAGAAGAUCUGUUAGGUCUUGGAAAAGGAGGGCGUUGGGACAUACCUGGCAUACGACUGGUUGCUCGAGGUGGGCUGCGGCUGCGGCUCCAACUACGCGUUGAAUUGGGAGAACUCGAUCUUAAAGUGGAUUGCCUUCUGAACUCAAGGCAGUCUUGCUGGGCAGUUCUGACUGUACUUGGAGAGGGGCUUGAGGCCGAAAAUACAUCCUUGUUAGUAGCAGGGUUGGCAUUGAGAUGAAUGUGUGGUAAAUGGUCUCACGUGAAUGCUUGAGCCUGCUGUGCCGCUAAAGAAGAGCUCGCUGGAUAUGCAAGCUAGGGAGUCUCGCCUAGCUCUGGCAUGUCAGCUGCAGUGAUGGGAACUGGGCAAGAGUCCUCUGCUUGUUGAGAGCGUCUACCUUCCAAUCGUUGAAGCAGGCAGAGGAUGUACUGGGGAUGCGAUUAGAUCCAUCAGUGAAGUCUUAUUUUGAGUAACGUUGAUAUGGUGGCUUGCAGAUGGAGAAACCAUUGCAGGAUGAAGGAAAGCUUGAUCUUGAAUAACAUUGACAUAGAGGCUUACUGAGGGAGAAACUAUUGCUCGAUGAAGGAAAGCCUGCAAUGGUAGUGGAGGCUGGCCUUCAAAUGGCGCUGCUGUGGUAGGUUUGGAUUCGACAAUGUCGAGAGAGCCGAUUGGAGAGACUUAGGCAGAGGAGAUAGAAUUAGAAUUAGUGUUUAUAAGGGACAUUGUAUGUAAUGGCUCAUCCCCGGGUGGUAAGUCUGCAAUGUGUGGUAGCGAGACCUUCAGGUGCUGUUGGUGGAGUACGAAUGUUGACGUCGCCUACGUUGGAUUGAACUUCUUUUGCAAGGCUGGAUAGAGUAGCUAUGGUGGGAUGCGAAUCUAGGGGAAGCUUGGCCUGUGGUGAUGUCCAUGGCUUCCCUUUGUGACCACGGCCGUCGACUGUUACAAACCCAUCUGCAUCGGGUUGUGCUUGUUGUGGGAGCACUCCUCUUCCAGCAUAUAUUGAGGAAGGACCUACCUUAUGCCGAGGGCCUCCUACAUUGCGAUCUGGGGGAUGCUCAUCUCAUGGGAUGUGUUGAUCCGCUCCAGAUUGGUGUGGGCAAUCUCUGAUUUUAUGAGACACCUUGAGACAGAGUCUGCACCUGAUUGGUAAAUCGGUAUAGUCUACUAGGAUGGUAAUUAAUCUUUGAUUAAUCUGAUUUUCAAUUUCCAAUUCUGUUUUUCAGCCAUUGGUUGUAUCAAAGGCUACACAAGCAUUGUUCAACAAAAAAUGAUUUACCCGAUCAAUACGGAGUCAGCACAGGCAGUUGGCGUGCAACUUCUGGGCUGGAAGCUUUUAAGAAAAAAAAAUCCCCUAUCGGCAUUAUCACUAGCCAUGACUGAGCCUCCUGCCAGACUUGCAUUCAAAGUACAGAGCCAUUGCGCAAAGAGUGGCAAGGUGAGCUUCCCACCCACCACCAUAUGGUCUUCGAGGUGCCGCGGCGACAACUUCCUAUGGUACCUAUACUCGUUUUUUUCUUUUUUUUAAAAAAAUGAGCAUAAUAUUGCAUAAAUCCCUCAGAAAGACGUUCCCUACCUGUCGCUUUGGUAGGGUUUAGUGACAGCCCUUGGCACUGAUUGCAAAGAGAGGCCACUAGAUCCCCUCGAUCACUGUCAACCAUGGAGGAGUCGUACCUAGGAGGCACAGAGUCAUUCAAGCCAUUAGUACGAACAGCAUUAACGUAAGAGAGCCAUUUGCAAAAACCCUAAUUACUAAUCCUAAAAACCUGUCCAAAUAAAGUGCCUACAGAUGUUAAAUCUGCGCAGCGGAAGAGAAUCGUACUCACAAAUUUCCUAGUGAGCUGUAGAAUGCAAGUUUCCAGCUUACACAUGUCAAAGAGUCUUUCCGAGCACAUGUGUUUCAUGUGACCUGGUUUACCACAAUAAUUACAUUGAAAUCUUUAAAAUGAAGAAGGGAGAGAGCCGAUGUUACCUUGAUUGAAUGGACCUUGUUGAUUUCUGAGGUUUGUAGUAUGCCGAUUGAAGGAGCCCCGAGAGUGGUUCUAUCGGUAAUACAACGCUUUGUCAGAGGUGGGAUUUGUUCCACGCUUUGUUUGACAACGACUUUCUUCAAGCAUGAUGCGGGAUUGAAGUUGGUCGAAGGUGGGAUAGCCGCCUCCACUUGUGUAACGGCUGAGGAAAUAGUCGUUAGAAUCUGGAAGUGAUUUUUGAACUAAAUCAGCAUCUUUUAGCUUGACCCCGAUGGCAAAUAGUUCCACUAGGAUUUGGCAGAACUGGGAAAAAUAGUGCUCAGCCCCGAGAUGCUCCAAGGACAUGAUUAGUUGAAGUCAAUUCUUCAAGUCAUAUUUCCAGCUGUCGUCUGUGUUUUUGAAGGACCUCUUGAGAAAGUUCCACAGGCGCUUAGGUUCAUGGUAAUCAGUCAACACCACAAAGAGAUUUGGUCUUCUCGACAUUGUUUUGUGAACGAUAUAUAUACGAGUUUGGAGAGAUGGACAAAUGUUAUUUAUCUAGGUCCUUUAUCUCAACAGAGUCCAGAAAUGUCUUCAACAGGGCCAAGAAUGGUACAUGGCUGAUCUUGUGAAUUGAUACUUGUAGUUAAGGAUUGGACACAUUCAUUGAAAAUGUAAAGUUUAUUGUCUAAGGCCAAAACCAUUUCUUAUUUA